rnacentral:rRNA from 1 species
GACAAACGCUGGCGGCGUGCUUAACACAUGCAAGUCGAACGGAAAGGCCCCUUCGGGGGUACUCGAGUGGCGAACGGGUGAGUAACACGUGGGUGAUCUGCCCCUGACUUUGGGAUAAGCCUGGGAAACUGGGUCUAAUACCGGAUAUGACCAAGGACUGCAUGGUUUUUGGUGGAAAGCUUUUGCGGUUGGGGAUGGGCCCGCGGCCUAUCAGCUUGUUGGUGGGGUAAUGGCCUACCAAGGCGACGACGGGUAGCCGACCUGAGAGGGUGAUCGGCCACACUGGGACUGAGUGACGGCCCAGACUCCUACGGGAGGCAGCAGUGGGGAAUAUUGCACAAUGGGCGCAAGCCUGAUGCAGCGACGCCGCGUGAGGGAUGACGGCCUUCGGGUUGUAAACCUCUUUCACCAGGGACGAAGCUUUUGUGACGGUACCUGGAGAAGAAGCACCGGCCAACUACGUGCCAGCCGCCGCAGUAA